CGUAGGUGACAAGCGUUGUCCGGAUUUACUGGGCGUAAAGAGCGCGCAGGCGGUCGUUCAAGUCGAGUGUGAAAGCCCCCGGCUCAACUGGGGAGGGUCACUCGAUACUGAUCGACUCGAAGGCAGGAGAGGGUAGUGGAAUUCCCGGUGUAGUGGUGAAAUGCGUAGAUAUCGGGAGGAACACCAGUGGCGAAGGCGACUACCUGGCCUGUUCUUGACGCUGAGGCGCGAAAGCUAGGGGAGCAAACGGG
rnacentral:rRNA from 1 species